rnacentral:lncRNA from 1 species
AUGCAAACUUCAUGUGAAUGCUCUGUGCUGUGUCUUCAGGGCUGUUACAGGGCCAUGGUUUGGUCCUUGUCUAUCCUUACAGGCCUACACUUUUUUGCAAGAAAGUCACAGUGCCACGUGUGCUUGCUGAUUCAAUCUGGGAGGAGGACAGAGAGCAGACACAGUGGUGCCACUCCUUUUGCUGAACACCAGACAGGACCAUCAGACUGUAAGAGACCUGUCUUAAGAAAGAUGGAGGUGGCCCCCAUCUUCCUUCCACGUGCUGCUCUGCCAAGGUUUUCUCAUUCUGAUCAACAUCUCCAAGCUUGGGCUCAGUCUGCCAAUAUCUCCUGCCUCAUGAGUGAUAGCACUGCAGAGUGGAAUGGAUCACAUUCAAAAAGCUGGUCUGUACAAGCGUUUUAAGCUCUGUUCGUCCCUUUUUGGAGGACCUGUUGACUGUCAUUAUAUGCUGCACUGAAAGAACUAGUAAGUGGCUGCUCUCAAGUUGAUUGCAUUGCCAUCGAUGCUAGAAAGCAUGCAAGAAAUAGCUUCACUGCCUGGAUGUGAUUUAAAGAUUGAGGAACAAGUAUCACUUCCAUCGAAGCUGGAAGAAAUUUUGCUCCUGAUGUAGAUGGAAGGAGAAAUCAGUUCUCUUGUAUUUGAAGUGUGAUUUGGUUGAUUAGGCAACAUUAUACGCUGUUAAUCAUUUAAGUAAAAGAUUCUUCUUGUGUCAAGUGUUUGAUUUUUUUUAUUUAGUAUGUUUGUAAGCAUAGAAUACUAAAGCCAUAAAGUUUGAGAAACUUUAUACUCAAAGGGAGUAACUUGCUUCUCUAUUUAUAUAUAUACACCCAUACAGAGCAUUUCAUGAUAGUUUGACUCUGAUAUUAGCAUGUUUUCCACAUUAUUCAUCACUUGUUUUUUGCAAGUUAGAACAUACUCCAAGCCGUAGGCUGCAUCUGGUGCUGUACGUGUUUAAACACCAUGUACAAUAAGAAAUUGAUACUGCUGUUGUAUGCAACUUUGUGCUUUUAAAGGGUUUGGAUCAUGUAAAUAAGUGAUGGGUGUCUUGUCCAGCAGUCCACCCUUGCUGUGAAAAUCCUGAAAAAAACAAACAAAAAAAACCUUUCCUUCGGUUUAGUCUGUUCUUGUUAAAAAAAAAAAGUGUUUUACAAGAAGCACAAAAUCUAGCAAU